CCCGCACAAGCGGCGGAGCAUGUGGAUUAAUUCGAUGCAACGCGAAGAACCUUACCUGGGUUUGACAUACACCGGAAAACCGUAGAGAUACGGUCCCCCUUGUGGUCGGUGUACAGGUGGUGCAUGGCUGUCGUCAGCUCGUGUCGUGAGAUGUUGGGUUAAGUCCCGCAACGAGCGCAACCCUUGUCUUAUGUUGCCAGCACGUAAUGGUGGGGACUCGUAAGAGACUGCCGGGGUCAACUCGGAGGAAGGUGGGGACGACGUCAAGUCAUCAUGCCCCUUAUGUCCAGGGCUUCACACAUGCUACAAUGGCCAGUACAGAGGGCUGCGAGACCGUGAGGUGGAGCGAAUCCCUUAAAGCUGGUCUCAGUUCGGAUCGGGGUCUGCAACUCGACCCCGUGAAGUCGGAGUCGCUAGUAAUCGCAGAUCAGCAACGCUGCGGUGAAUACGUUCCCGGGCCUU
rnacentral:rRNA from 1 species